AUACGUAGGUCCCGAACGUUGCGCGAAAUUACUGGGCGUAAGGGGUCCGUAGGCGGUCUGGUAAGUGGAAGGUGAAAGCCUGGGGCUCAACUCCAGAAUUGCCUUCCAAACUGCCGGACUUGAGGCAGGGAGAGGUCGGCGGAAUUCCCGGUGUAGUGGUGAAAUGCGUAGAUAUCGGGAGGAACACCAGUGGCGAAGGCGGCCGACUGGAACUGUCCUGACGCUGAGGGACGAAAGCCAGGGGAGCGAACCGGAUUAGAAACCCUAGUAGUCC
rnacentral:rRNA from 1 species